UCUCCGUUUCUCUAGGGAAUAGCAAUUUUAUAGUGGUUAGUCUAAUGAUUUAGGGAGUAUUUGCAGUUUUGCUAAAUUAAUGGAUAAAAAAUUAGAACGAUGUCCAUGUACCAUGAAAAGAAGUUUAUCAUACAUUAAUACAAAGUUAUAAUGUGGUUUUAAAUUUUAAAACAAAUUUAGAGAUUAUAGGCUUCAUAUAAAGAGCAUUUACCGAAAACUCACUAUUUUCGUAGGGGUUAACCCAUAGAUUUUGAAAAAAAUCAAAAAAAUUGAAAAUACUGUUUUAAUACAUAUUUGAAUCAAGUAAAAAAAUAUGAUGAAGUUCAAAGAGGUUUGGAACCUUUGUUGUCUCCGUUUCUCUAGGGAAUAGCAAUUUUAUAGUGGUUAGUCUAAUGAUUUAGGGAGUAUUUGCAGUUUUGCUAAAUUAAUGGAUAAAAAAUUAGAACGAUGUCCAUGUACCAUGAAAAGAAGUUUAUCAUACAUAAAUACAAAGUUAUAAUGUGGUUUUAAAUUUUAAAACAAAUUUAGAGAUUAUAGGCUUCAUAUAUAGAGCAUUUACCGAAAACUCACUAUUUUCGUAGGGGGGUACACAUAGAUUUUGAGAAAAAUUCAAAAAUUUUGAAAAUACUGUUUUAAUACAUAUUUGAAUCAUGUAAUAAUAUAUGAUGAAGUUCAAAGAGGUUUGGAACCUUUGUUGUCUCCGUUUCUCUAGGGAAUAGCAAUUUUAUAGUGGUUAGUCCAAUGAUUUAGGGAGUAUUUGCAGUAAAUUAAUGGAUAAAAAAUUAGAACGAUGUCCAUGUACCAUGAAAAGAAGUUUAUCAUACAUUAAUACAAAGGUAUAAUGUGGUUUUAAAUUUUAAAACAAAUUUAAAGAUUAUAGGCUUCAUAUAUAGAGCAUUUACCGAAAACUCACUAUUUUCGUAGGGGUUAACACAUAGAUUUUGAAAAAAAUUCAAAAAAUUGAAAAUACUGUUUUAAUACAUAUUUGAAUCAUGUAAUAAAAUAUGAUGAAGUUCAAAGAGGUUUGGAACCUUUGUUGUCUCCGUUUCUCUAGGAAUAACAAUUUUAUAGUGGUUAGUCUAAUGAUUUAGGGAGUAUUUACAGGUUUGCUAAAUUAAUGGAUAAAAAAUUAGAACGAUGUCCAUGUACCAUGAAACGAAGUUUAUCAUACAUUAAUACAAAGGUAUAAUGUGGUUUUAAAUUUUAAAACAAAUUUAAAGAUUAUAGGCUUCAUAUAUAGAGCAUUUACCGAAAACUCACUAUUUUCGUAGGGGGGUACACAUAGAUUUUGAGAAAAUUCAAAAAAUUUGACAAUACUGUUUUAAUACAUAUUUGAAUCAUGUAAUAAAAUAUGAUGAAGUUCAAAGAGGUUUGGAACCUUUGUUGUCUCCGUUUCUCUAGGGAAUAGCAAUUUUAUAGUGGUUAGUCUAAUGAUUUAGGGAGUAUUUGCAGUUUUGCUAAAUUAAUGGAUAAAAAAUUAGAACGAUGUCCAUGUACCAUGAAAAGAAGUUUAUCAUACAUUAAUACAAAGGUAUAAUGUGGUUUUAAAUUUUAAAACAAAUUUAAAGAUUAUAGGCUUCAUAUAUAGAGCAUUUACCGAAAACUCACUAUUUUCGUAGGGGGGUACACAUAGAUUUUGAGAAAAAUUCAAAAAAUUUGAAAAUACUGUUUUAAUACAUAUUUGAAUCAUGUAAUAAUAUAUGAUGAAGUUCAAAGAGGUUUGGAACCUUUGUUGUCUCCGUUUCUCUAAGGAAUAGCAAUUUUAUAGUGGUUAGUCUAAUGAUUUAGGGAGUAUUUGCAGUUUUGCUAAAUUAAUGGAUAAAAAAUUAGAACGAUGUCCAUGUACCAUGAAAAUAAGUUUAUCAUACAUUAAUACAAAGGUAUAAUGUGGUUUUAAAUUUUAAAACAAAUUUAAAGAUUAUAGGCUUCAUAUAUAGAACAUUUACCGAAAACUCACUAUUUUCGUAGGGGGGUACACAUAGAUUUUGAGGAAAAUUUGAAAAUACUGUUUUAAUACAUAUUUGAAUCAUGUAAUAAUAUAUGAUGAAGUUCAAAGAGGUUUGGAACCUUUGUUGUCUCCGUUUCUCUAGGGAAUAGCAAUUUUAUAGUGGUUAGUCCAAUGAUUUAGGGAGUAUUUGCAGUAAAUUAAUGGAUAAAAAAUUAGAACGAUGUCCAUGUACCAUGAAAAGAAGUUUAUCAUACAUUAAUACAAAGGUAUAAUGUGGUUUUAAAUUUUAAAACAAAUUUAAAGAUUAUAGGCUUCAUAUAUAGAGCAUUUACCGAAAACUCACUAUUUUCGUAGGGGUUAACCCAUAGAUUUUGAAAAAAAUCAAAAAAUUUGAAAAUACUGUUUUAAUACAUAUUUGAAUCAUGUAAAAAAAUAUGAUGAAGUUCAAAGAGGUUUGGAACCUUUGUUGUCUCCGUUUCUCUAGGGAAUAGCAAUUUUAUAGUGGUUAGUCUAAUGAUUUAGGGAGUAUUUGCAGUUUUGCUAAAUUAAUGGAUAAAAAAUUAGAACGAUGUCCAUGUACCAUGAAAAGAAGUUUAUCAUACAUUAAUACAAAGUUAUAAUGUGGUUUUAAAUUUUAAAACAAAUUUAAAGAUUAUAGGCUUCAUAUAUAGAGCAUUUACCGAAAACUCACUAUUUUCGUAGGGGGGUACACAUAGAUUUUGAGAAAAAUUCAAAAAAUUUGAAAAUACUGUUUUAAUACAUAUUUGAAUCAUGUAAUAAUAUAUGAUGAAGUUCAAAGAGGUUUGGAACCUUUGUUGUCUCCGUUUCUCUAGGGAAUAGCAAUUUUAUAGUGGUUAGUCCAAUGAUUUAGGGAGUAUUUGCAGUAAAUUAAUGGAUAAAAAUUAGAACGAUGUCCAUGUACCAUGAAAAGAAGUUUAUCAUACAUUAAUACAAAGGUAUAAUGUGGUUUUAAAUUUUAAAACAAAUUUAAAGAUUAUAGGCUUCAUAUAUAGAGCAUUUACCGAAAACUCACUAUUUUCGUAGGGGUUACACAUAGAUUUUGAAAAAAAUCAAAAAAUUGAAAAUACUGUUUUAAUACAUAUUUGAAUCAUGUAAUAAAAUAUGAUGAAGUUCAAAGAGGUUUGGAACCUUUGUUGUCUCCGUUUCUCUAGGGAAUAGCAAUUUUAUAGUGGUUAGUCUAAUGAUUUAGGGAGUAUUUGCAGUUUUGCUAAAUUAAUGGAUAAAAAAUUAGAACGAUGUCCAUGUACCAUGAAAAGAAGUUUAUCAUACAUUAAUACAAAGGUAUAAUGUGGUUUUAAAUUUUAAAACAAAUUUAAAGAUUAUAGGCUUCAUAUAUAGAGCAUUUACCGAAAACUCACUAUUUUCGUAGGGGGGUACACAUAGAUUUUGAGAAAAAUUCAAAAAAUUUGAAAAUACUGUUUUAAUACAUAUUUGAAUCAUGUAAUAAUAUAUGAUGAAGUUCAAAGAGGUUUGGAACCUUUGUUGUCUCCGUUUCUCUAGGGAAUAGCAAUUUUAUAGUGGUUAGUCUAAUGAUUUAGGGAGUAUUUGCAGUUUUGCUAAAUUAAUGGAUAAAAAAUUAGAACGAUGUCCAUGUACCAUGAAAAGAAGUUUAUCAUACAUUAAUACAAAGUUAUAAUGUGGUUUUAAAUUUUAAAACAAAUUUAAAGAUUAUAGGCUUCAUAUAUAGAGCAUUUACCGAAAACUCACUAUUUUCGUAGGGGGGUACACAUAGAUUUUGAGAAAAAUUCAAAAAAUUUGAAAAUACUGUUUUAAUACAUAUUUGAAUCAUGUAAUAAUAUAUGAUGGAGUUCAAAGAGGUUUGGAACCUUUGUUGUCUCCGUUUCUCUAGGGAAUAGCAAUUUUAUAGUGGUUAGUCUAAUGAUUUAGGGAGUAUUUGCAGUUUUGCUAAAUUAAUGGAUAAAAAAUUAGAACGAUGUCCAUGUACCAUGAAAAGAAGUUUAUCAUACAUUAAUACAAAGGUAUAAUGUGGUUUUAAAUUUUAAAACAAAUUUAAAGAUUAUAGGCUUCAUAUAUAGAGCAUUUACCGAAAACUCACUAUUUUCGUAGGGGGUACACAUAGAUUUUGAGAAAAAUUUGAAAAAUUUGAAAAUACUGUUUUAAUACAUAUUUGAAUCAUGUAAUAAUAUAUGAUGAAGUUCAAAGAGGUUUGGAACCUUUGUUGUCUCCGUUUCUCUAGGGAAUAGCAAUUUUAUAGUGGUUAGUCCAAUGAUUUAGGGAGUAUUUGCAGUAAAUUAAUGGAUAAAAAAUUAGAACGAUGUCCAUGUACCAUGAAAAGAAGUUUAUCAUACAUUAAUACAAAGUAUAAUGUGGUUUUAAAUUUUAAAACAAAUUUAAAGAUUAUAGGCUUCAUAUAUAGAGCAUUUACCUAAAACUCACUAUUUUCGUAGGGGUUAACACAUAGAUUUUGAGAAAAAUUGAAAAAAUUGAAAAUACUGUUUUAAUACAUAUUUGAAUCAAGUAAAAAAAUAUGAUGAAGUUCAAAGAGGUUUGGAACCUUUGUUGUCUCCGUUUCUCUAGGGAAUAGCAAUUUUAUAGUGGUUAGUCUAAUGAUUUAGGGAGUAUUUGCAGUUUUCCUAAAUUAAUGGAUAAAAAAUUAGAACGAUGUCCAUGUACCAUGAAAAGAAGUUUAUCAUACAUUAAUACAAAGUUAUAAUGUGGUUUUAAAUUUUAAAACAAAUUUAAAGAUUAUAGGCUUCAUAUAU
rnacentral:lncRNA from 1 species